AACGAACGCUGGCGGCAUGCCUAACACAUGCAAGUCGAACGAGACCUUCGGGUCUAGUGGCGCACGGGUGCGUAACGCGUGGGAAUCUGCCCUUGGGUUCGGAAUAACAGUGAGAAAUUACUGCUAAUACCGGAUGAUGUCUUCGGACCAAAGAUUUAUCGCCCAGGGAUGAGCCCGCGUAGGAUUAGGUAGUUGGUGGG
rnacentral:rRNA from 1 species